rnacentral:rRNA from 1 species
GUGAGGAAUAUUGGUCAAUGGAGGCAACUCUGAACCAGCCAUGCCGCGUGCAGGAAGACGGUCCUAUGGAUUGUAAACUGCUUUUAUUUAGGAAUAAACCCCCGGUCGUGCACCGGGGCUGAAUGUACUAAAAGAAUAAGCACCGGCUAACUCCGUGCCAGCAGCCGCGGUAAUACGGAGGGUGCAAGCGUUAUCCGGAAUCAUUGGGUUUAAAGGGUCCGCAGGCGGGUAAAUAAGUCAGAGGUGAAAUCCGGCAGCUCAACUGUCGCACUGCGUUUGAUACUGUUUAUCUUGAAUUUUAGUGGAGUGGGCGGAAUAUGUCAUGUAGCGGUGAAAUGCUUAGAUAUGACGUGGAACACCGAUAGCGAAGGCAGCUCACUAACUAUGAAUUGACGCUCAUGGACGAAAGCGUGGGUAGCAAACAGGAUUAGAAACCCCAGUAGUCC